UACAGAGGGGGCAAGCGUUGUUCGGAAUUACUGGGCGUAAAGGGCGCGUAGGCGGCCCGCUAAGUCGAACGUGAAAUCCCCGAGCUCAACUCGGGAACUGCGUCCGAUACUGGCGGGCUUGAAUCCGGGAGAGGGAUGCGGAAUUCCAGGUGUAGCGGUGAAAUGCGUAGAUAUCAGGAGGAACACCAAUGGCGAAGGCAGCUCGCUGGGACGGUACUGACGCUAAGGCGCGAAAGCGUGGGGAGCGAACAGG
rnacentral:rRNA from 1 species